CGAUGUCUCAAAGUUUGUGGAAUUUAUCUUUGUUGGAGGAAAAAGGCCUCAUGCCUUUUACCUCCUUAGUUUGCUAUCUGAAAAGAAGAAGCUGCAGAAAAGAGGAUCUACCAUGUUGCCUAGGACAGCCUUGAACAUCUGUUCUCAAAUGAGCCUUCUGCCUCAGCCCCCUGAGUGUCUGGAACUACAGGCAUGAACCACCAUAUCCAACUUUGUUCAGAUAUUUGAAACAUGUCAAUCCUGUUUUAAUUAUACAUUAUAGAUUUUAAAAUAAUGGUGAUCAAUAAAGUCUUUUCAAAGUAGAA